AUUGAACGCUGGCGGCAUGCUUUACACAUGCAAGUCGAACGGCAGCACGGGGGCAACCCUGGUGGCGAGUGGCGAACGGGUGAGUAAUGCAUCGGAACAUGCCCAGUAGUGGGGGAUAACACAUCGAAAGAUGUGCUAAUACCGCAUACGCACUGAGGUGGAAAGCGGGGGAUCGCAAGACCUCGCGCUAUUGGAGUGGCCGAUGUCCGGUUAGCUAGUUGGUGGGGUAAUGGCCCACCAAGGCGACGAUCGGUAGCUGGUCUGAGAGGAUGAUCAGCCACACUGGGACUGAGACACGGCCCAGACUCCUACGGGAGGCAGCAGUGGGGAAUUUUGGACAAUGGGCGCAAGCCUGAUCCAGCCAUGCCGCGUGAGUGAAGAAGGCCUUCGGGUUGUAAAGCUCUUUCGGCCGGAACGAAAUCGUCCGGGCUAAUACCCCGGAUGGAUGACGGUACCGGAAGAAGAAGCACCGGCUAACUACGUGCCAGCAGCCGCCGUAACAC
rnacentral:rRNA from 1 species